ensembl:snRNA U6 U6 spliceosomal RNA
GUGCUCACUUCAGCAGUACAUAUACUAAAAUUAAAACAAUACAGAGAUUAGCAUGGCCCAUGUGCAAGGAUGACAUGCAAAUUCGUGAAGAGUUCCAUAUUUUU